rnacentral:rRNA from 1 species
UGCGCAGGCGGGAAAUUAAGUCAGUGGUGAAAGCCCCGAGCUCAACUUGGGAACUGCCAUUGAUACUGAUUUUCUUGAAUAUAGUUGAGGUAGGCGGAAUACAACAUGAAGCGGUGAAAUGCAUAGAUAUGUUGCAGAACACCAACUGCGAAGGCAGCUUACUAAACUAUUAUUGACGCUGAGGCACGAAAGCGUGGGGAGCGAACAGGAUUAGAUACCCUGGUAGUCC